rnacentral:lncRNA from 1 species
CUGUUAACCAGCCUGGCCUCAAACCAUAGAGAUUUGCCUGCCUCUGCCUCCUGAGUGCUGGGAUUAAAGAUAUGCACCACCCUGCCUGGCACAAGAUAAUCUCUUUUUAAAAGACUCAGAAAAAGAUCGCAUGAUCAGGAGAAAUUCAGGCAACAGCAGGAAAGAAGAAGGAAAGACACACCUGAGUGGUGAGGAAAGAGGAAGGGAGAUGGAAAGAAGGCGGCGGUGUCUACUUGGCCUGAGAUGGACUGGCAAACCCGUUUGGCUACUGUGGGACUGGCAUACCCUCUUAUCAAAAUAACAGCCACUCUCCCACAUUUGUACCCAGAGAAUUUUUUGUCUGGUUGGGUUUGGUUGUUACUGCUUGUUCAUUGCUAUCCAUGAAACCAUUCUCCCCUGUUGUGGAGAUCAUAAACAAAAGGUACCAGGGUAGUAGACAUGUUAAGACAACUGUGGCACAUUUAUAGGAAAAAGACUUUGAUGACUUUCUUGGCUCAGAAUGAGGAAUUUUUCCUGACUCUUCCUUAAAGAACAAAUAAAAAUUUCGCAUGAUGUGUAUGUUAAUUUUGAGUGACUGGGCCAAGUACAGGUUAUGCUAACACUAGAGACUUUUAAGUCACCUUUGGCAACACCCC